CGACCGCUCCGAAAGGAGCCAAGGCCACACGGACAGCCGGGUCGAAUGCCGA
ncrna:unclassified sequences Streptococcus sRNA SpF59 (ldcC RNA)